GAAGAACGCUGGCGGCGUGCUUAACACAUGCAAGUCGAACGAAGUGGCGAACGGGUGAGUAAUAUGUUGGUAACCUGCCCUCCUUUUUGGGAUAAGCCUUGGAAACGGGGCUUAAUACUGUACAUAGGGGGAUGGGCUCGCGGCCUAUCAGCUUGUUGGUGGGGUGAUGGCCUACACAGGCGGUGACGGGUAGCCGGUGUGAGAUGGUGACCUGCCAACUGGGGACUGAGAUACGGCUCUGACUGCUACCGGCGGCAGUGGGGGAGAGUCUGGGACAAUGAGCAGAAGCCAGAUACAGAGACGCCUCGUGGGGGUUUCAGCCUUCCUGGUUGUAAACCGCAGUUGCUAGCGAGCAGGUAGGCUUGUAAGAAGAACAGGCGAACUACGUGUCAGCAGCCGCGGUAAUAC
rnacentral:rRNA from 1 species